rnacentral:tRNA from 1 species
GCCGACGUAGCUCAACGGUAGAGCGGGUGAUUUGUAAUCACCAGGUUGCCUGUUCGAAUCAGGUCGUCGGCUCCA